UGAUAAAGAAAGUUCAGCCAUCGAGAUCUCGACCACCACUACUUCAUAGCGAAUGCAAGGUCCACUCAGCCCUAAAUUUGCCUUGCUCAUCAGGGUACAGUCAGAGACGUGGUCCAGCGUUCUAUGCUGCAGUGUUCGGUGCACAUGUGCUGCUGCAAAAUGGAUUUGAAUGUGGCCCACAGCUCUUUCUGCAUCUCCUCUACCUCCCCCCACUUCCCUUUCAAAUGAAGCUUAAGCAUUUAG